UUUUUUAUUUGCCCUAAGAAUUUCUUCGCCACCCCCUCUCUCGCUUCUCUCGCCUGAUUCCCCUCUGCCGCACCCCCUUUUGAAGCCGCGAUUCGACACCGCCUUUGCCGGAGCAACCGGAGCCAGCCGGUGCUUCCUCCUACGUACCCGACAGUGACACCUAGAAAAAUGAGGAAGAUGUCAUCCCGAAUGUGGUAGGGGACACGAAGGCAGUGUAGUUGAGGAGAUGAAGUUGAAUGCAUCACACACUGUCUAGAGGCUCUAGGUGUUAGUUAUUAGUCCUUUUUCCUUUGAUUUGUUCUGUCAGUAUGAGAUGGAGACUACUGGUUAGCUUGCAUUGGUAGGAGGUCACAAAUGUUUCUUGGAGGAUAUGUUUUCUUAGUGCAUUUGUAAUUUUGGACAAAUAUAUGAUGCAAAGUUGUUUCCUUUCA